UACGUAGGGUGCGAGCGUUGUCCGGAAUUAUUGGGCGUAAAGAGCUCGUAGGCGGUGUGUCACGUCGUUCGUGAAAACCUGCAGCUUAACUGUGGGCGUGCGGUCGAUACGGGCAUCACUGGAGUUCGGUAGGGGAGACUGGAAUUCCUGGUGUAGCGGUGAAAUGCGCAGAUAUCAGGAGGAACACCGGUGGCGAAGGCGGGUCUCUGGGCCGAUACUGACGCUGAGGAGCGAAAGCCAGGGGAGCAAACGGG
rnacentral:rRNA from 1 species